GGAGGCGUCUGGGUUCCUGGUGGGCCCCGCGGUCUUCAAAACCGUUGAGCGGGUGCUGAGCCCGCUGGCGGGUUCGAUUCCCGUCCGCCUCCG
rnacentral:tRNA from 1 species